rnacentral:tRNA from 1 species
AUGAAUUUAGUUUAAAUAAAAUAUUAGUUUGUCAUAUUAAAGAUACAUUUUUUGUAAUUCAUU